UGGGGGAUAUUGCACAAUGGGCGAAAGCCUGAUGCAGCGACGCCGCGUGGGGGAUGAAGGCCUUCGGGUUGUAAACUUCUUUUGCUCUGAACAAGGCAUGCUAAUGGGUGUGUUGAGUGUAGGGGUUGAUUAGCGCCGGCUAACUACGUGCCAGCAGCCGCGGUAAUACGUAGGGCGCGAGCGUUGUCCGGAAUUAUUGGGCGUAAAGGGCUUGUAGGUGGCUGGUUGCGUCUGUCGUGAAAGCUCAUGGCUUAACUGUGGGUUUGCGGUGGGUACGGGCUGGCUUGAGUGCAGUAGGGGAGGCUGGAAUUCCUGGUGUAGCGGUGGAAUGCGCAGAUAUCAGGAGGAAUACCGGUGGCGAAGGCGGGUCUCUGGGCUGUUACUGACGCUGAGGCUCGAAAGCGUGGGGAGCAAACAGG
rnacentral:rRNA from 1 species